UCUACCACCCGAUACUCGCCGCUGCCGCUGCCGGUGAGGCGCGCGAGCGGCGCUUUGGGUGAAGGCGUCUUCGUCGGCGACCUUGCGCCGCCCUUGUUCUUCCCGUCCGACUCGUCGCCAGACAUGACCAUGGCGGAUCAAACACCGCCGCUGCUCCGAGGAACAGACACCCGAGGCUCUGAUGCCAAAUGUUGUUGCCGAUCGAGCGAGUCAGAGAGGGAUAGGUUGAGGAAGAAGAUGAACUCGCGAGAGCUUUGUGCUGCCACAACACGCAGCGUUUUCUGUUCUGUUAUUCCACAUCUUAUGCAUCGUACAGGACUCCACUAACCACCUCCCGGCCUGGCAGCUGCGAUCCGCAAGUGUCGCUCCAUCCAGCGACUGGAUCGAACAGAGACCAAGACCAGGAGGUGGGAAUAUUCUACGGAGAGGCGCAGCUCUCCACUACGUGCAUGACUAUGCAUGCGUUAUUACAAAAAACAGAAAAUAAACAAUGCUACUGCAUGAGAUUAUCUAGGCUAACACUCGCUGGCGCUUAUUGCACUUUCACCCCUUGAGAACCGCGAAAAUAACCCGCACUCCGACCUUAUGCCCCACCGCACGUCCGCACGUCAUCUCCGGCGAAACCCACGGCCUCCCUCUGAUCCACGCCGCCGCCGCCCCCCGUGGAUCAACCACCACACAACCCACGACCCCCUCCCCAGAUCCAGGCGGAGCUGCUGCGCUCGUUGGAGGAAGCCGGCGCCGCACAGAGACUCGCGGACCGGACGGCGAGCUUGGCCAUUCCCAUGGCGCACCGGCCGCCCCCAAGGUCGUCGGCCACCUUGACAAGUCACACACACCGUCCACCUCGACAAAUCUCAGCGCGCCGCCCCACUACCCUCCGCAGCCUAGCUCCACCGACCGCACCUGCACGAGCGAGCACCGUUUGUCCUCAGGGAGCUCGACGUCCUCGAUCCGCCGCCCUGCUCCCUUCGGCAGAGCUGGGAUAGGGUUCUUCCCGGGCUCAGGCUCCCUCCAUGUGCCUGUGCCACUAGGCUUGCUUUUAUUUUAAGCACACAAACUAAGCUUGCGAGUAGUCUUUCAAGUUGAACUGCCCACGCCGUUCGACUCUGAUUUGUUAAUUGCUUAAGUAGUUAGUUAUUAAUCCCUUGCUAGAUAUGUCUGUACAUGUAUGAGUUUUGUUGGCUUCAAUUGAAGAUAUAAUGAUUUCCUCUUGAAAGGAAUGUGUGAGAGACUUGAUUAUUUAGGAUUUGUUUCAAUCCCUUUCUGGUCUGGUGUUGUUUUGGGUAUUUUGAUAGCGAUACACUAAAUUUUUAUUCAGGAACAUAAUGCUUUACUACCCUGUCUGAUCAGAGUGAAACAUAAGUUGGAAAUUAAGUGGGAAUACUUUGCUUUUCUGUUGAGAUUGAAUAUCCACAUUAUCCCUAUCAAUCGAAGUGUGCAGUUUUAUUCCUGUUUUUAUUUCAUUUUCAUUCAAUUUUUCCUGUCCAGUUUGUCUCAAGGUUGGGUAUUAUAUAAGGUAGCUACACUCUUGGCUUCUAGUUUGCUAUAAUCUAAUGUUCGGAAGACUGUCUUUAUGUAGGUGACGUAACUUCCAUGGAAGAAUACCCCAUGGGGAAGAGUUGAUGUUUGUCAGGAGCAAGUUGUUGAAGGGAGAUUGGGCUCUUUAGGCAGCUUAGAUACAGCAGCAUCUACAGCUGGCACUUCAGGUGCUUACAUGCAUUCUAAGGAGGGCAACCGAAGUGGGGGCAGUGGUGGCCAGGAUGCUUCCUCUUGGCAUCAUCUAAUUAGAAAACCUCAGCUUGACUCCAUGCCGUGGAAAAGGAGUAGACAUGAUAUGUCUUCUGACAGUCAGGCACUUAUGGAAAAGAUCAUUGAUCACGGUCUUCUGACAUCUUAUGGAAACUGCUGAGUAUGACGAGGAAAAGUCCCAUGAGGAUACUUCAAAGAUGGCACCUUCAGUUAAUGCUCAGAAGCUAGAUGCAAACCAGUUAGCUGCAAAGAUUCUUCACCUUCGAAUGAAAG